rnacentral:lncRNA from 13 species
CACCUUUUCUGACGUUGCCCUGUCACCUAGGCUGCAAGCCCCUCCCUGGGAAGUGUCCUCCACCUCCCCAGCCACCUGCAGAGACACCUGACCCACUGCUGCCCUCUAGUGUCGCAAACCAUACCGCAGCACCUGGACACAGAAUUACUGGCCGUGGACUGGAUCCCCUUUUAGACGGACAAGGAGCCGGUUCCUAUACUGACUCAGCUUCUUCCCAUCAGGCUUGUCUAAAGUCACCACACCAGCCUGCCACAGUAGCAUCGUGGGGUCUUGGGGGCCUUCCUGCACAGCUCGGCUUUGGUCCCGAGGGAGACCAUAACACAGAAGGGAGAGAAAGAGCCCUUGUUUACUGAAUUUGCUGUUUGGGACCAAUUACAGAGACAAGGCCCCAGCUGUCCCAGAAAUCAAUUCCUAGCUGAGCACCCAGACACCUGAGGGAAGGGAUCUUAGACCUUCCAGCUCCAAACCAGCCAGCCAGACCGCCCACCCAGCCCAAAGAACCACGCAAACAGUAAUAAAUAUUUGAGAAAUAAUAAAACUUAUUGUUUG